CGGCCGCGGUAUUUUGACCGUGCAAAGGUAGCGCAAUCACUUGUCUUUUAAAUAGAGACCUGUAUGAAUGGCUAAACGAGGGCUUAACUGUCUCCCCUUUCAAGUCAGUGAAAUUGAUCUACCCGUGCAGAAGCGGGUAUAAUACUACAAGACGAGAAGACCCUUUGGAGCUUAAGGUACAAAACUCAACCACGUUAAGCAACUCAAUAAAAAGCAAAAACCUUGUGGACCAUGAGAUUUUACCUUCGGUUGGGGCGACCACGGAGGAAAGAAAAGCCUCCAGGUGGACUGGGAAAACCUCCUAAAACCAAGAGAGACAUCUCUAAGCCACAGAACAUCUGACCAAAUAUGAUCCGGCUAACACAUAGCCGAUCAACGAACCAAGUUACCCUAGGGAUAACAGCGCAAUCCUCUCCCAGAGUCCAUAUCGACGAGGGGGUUUACGACCUCGAUGUUGGAUCAGGACAUCCUAAUGGUGCAGCCGCUAUUAAGGGUU
rnacentral:rRNA from 1 species